GAGGGGGAGUACCGGGACGAGGGGGCGGGGCUGCGGAGGGGCGGAGACCCCCGGGGACCGCCAGGGCCGGCCGCCCAACUCACCUCCCUGCCGCCUCCGAGCUUGUCCUCCCCGUGAGAGGUCACACCCCCCCACACCCACCUGGAGGAAUCCACGCCCCCCCACCCCGUCGGGGAUUGACAAAGCGCCUUCCUCCGCUGCGAGGUCGCUGCUCUCCAGCCCCCGGUGGUACCGAUGAGAGCGGACGCGUGGUCGGCUGAGGCGCCGGCUGGCCUGCGCCUGGCAGUGCCCUGACCACCUAGACCCCGAUUCCGGGCGACUUUCCUUCCCAGAGCAGCAGUAGCUUGAUGUCAGGGUUGCACUGACUGAAAACAGAGCUUAAUCCCCCACCUCCCCCAUCCCAAGAGCUCCUGGUCUAAUGGAAGAGACAGAGAAGACAGGCGUUCAAUACACACAGGGUCAGUUUGGCAGCCGUCUCUGUGUCCAAGAGGAGCAGUGGAUGUUUGGCACAGGCCCUGGGCUGUAUCUGUCCAUCUUCAACAUGACAAGGUCAAACAUGGGCUGUACAAGUCAUCUCAUGUCACCCGCACAGACAGAAAAUGACAGAAAAACAUUCGCUGCAAAUGAAGACGCUUGCUCAGACAGCCAUUCAUAUCCACAGGAGACCUACCCCUGUGGCCACCUGUUGGGAUUCUGCGUGUCCUUCAAGGCCCAGCUGAAAUGCCACCUCACCAGAAGGCCAUCCCAGGCAGUGGAGUCCAAAUGCCUCUCACCUCUGCAGCCUGGAAUUAUCCAUCAGGGUAUUCUAAUCAGCUGCCACAAAUAUCUCUUAGGUAUUAGGGGCUGCAGGAGGGACCCUUCUCCAGAGGCGUGACCCAUAGACAAGGCAAAGCUUAACGCAGAGGGACCACAAACGGGGGCAGGUCAGGGGAGCACUAGGCUCUCCAGGACACAUGGCAUGGAGGCAGAGGCCUGCACCUCUGUGUGAGCUCUGAGCUCUCCCAACCUCUGCCUCUUGCCAGGUAUAUGGGAGGGGGCUGCACCUGGCUAAUUUAGAGGGGUUGUCUUGUCCCAGGGGUUGUGGUCAAGCAAGUUAUCCCAAUGGGCUUGUACCUUUUCUUGGUUUUUAUUUUCUACACUGAUGAAAAUUUCACAAUAUUUGCAAUGUUGAGGUACGAAGAACAAAGAAGCAUGUUUCACAAUUUAUGUAGCUCAUUCUGGAGCAAUAUUGAUGGCUUUAUCCUAUUUCUGAGUUUAAAAAAAAAAAAAGUUUUCUCCCUUC